rnacentral:lncRNA from 1 species
GAUGUAACGCAUAAAUUUUCCAUUUCAAAUGAAAAGGUGCAGAUUUAGCUUUUGAAUUGGAUUUCCACGUGGAUUUUCCUUCUUCAAACGGCACCGUUCCCACCUUUGUUAAUUCCCCUUUUAUUUCCUUAUCCAAACAAAGCCUAUCGUUAAAACCAAAGCCAUUAACCCCAUUUAUUAGGGUUUCAUUUGGCAAGAUGCUGCCAAACCACCAUUUUAUUUGGUGACCAGCAGUUCAUAGGCAAUGGUCAGCUGGUACGCGACCACAGAAAUCCGGUAAGCUUUUUCCUUCUUCUUCUUUAUGAAAACUUUUGAUUCAAUUUUAUUCUUUUUUUUAAAAACGUAUAAAAAAAUGAGCACAAAUUUAAUACCAUUCAUCCUUCACCCAUAUUUACAUAUUUCUAAAAUGUUUGGGCUCUCAUCGAUUACCGUUCAACCCCUUCCAACACCACGAUUGAAGGAUGACGCCUUUGGAUCCCCUUCCAACUUCGAUCUCAACAAAGUGAACAGAGAUCAAAGGCUGAAUUACAAGGUAAGACUUGCCUUCCCUUUUUCUUUGUUUUAAAAUGUAGAUGAUGAGAAUAAUGAGAAGAAAAUAUAUAAAAAUGACAGGAAAACUAAAAAAAAGCUAAAGAAAAUCACCUUUUCAGAGACUGUUUUUGAAUUUUUUUAUUCAAUAUGCGUAUUGCGUAUCUAUUCUGUGUGCGUAAAAAUAUAUGGAUGAAACCAAUGGCUUCUUAUAGCCUGAUUUUUGGAGUGAAAAAAAAUAAAAAUGCAUUUAUUUGCUGUAUUCUGUUAGCAAUUCUUCUCGUAUAUUCUUUUGCAGGUAUGGAGAAACGGCCGUACGGAGGAGACGUGCGAAGGAGGCUGCGCGAGGAGCCACUCGUAGGAGUCCCAAUUUCUGGCCUAUUUUGGCACGUUCCAGAAGCUGCUAGUGCUGCUGAGAUAAUUUUGGAUGUAUUGGGCCUCGGGUUUUAGGGUUUUUUGGGUCAUGGGUUAUUAAAAAUGGGUUUAAAAAAUUAUUGGAUUUUGGCUGUUUUAAUUUAGUUUAUUUUGUGUUUAUUGUUUUUUUGAUUUUUUUGGUAUAAGCCCGGACAAAAAUUGGGCCUUACAGAGUUAAUUGACUCGAAAUGUGAGAAAAUAAAAAUAAAGGAAUCAAAAUAUGUUAGUGCUCGAGUUGCCUCUCGAGAAGCGCUUAUUUAUAGUCUAAGCUUGACUUACCUCUCCGUUGAAUGAUCAUGGUGGUUCGAAGAGUUCAUACUCCUCAUUCCUGUUGUCAAUUUUAAAAUAAGGUCUUAAACGGGUGUUGUUUACCUUAAAAGUGCCGAACUUGGGAUGACUCACCUCCACUGUACCGAAUGGAAAAAUACUAAGUACCGUAAGAGGGAUUUUCUUAUUUGGUGUGGUAGUGACAAUGUGAGGAUCAACGACAUUUAGUAAGAUUGUAUCGCUGACCUGAAGUUGAUUAGGAGAGGUAUCGGGCUUGUUUUUGUGUAGUUUUGGGUUUAUCAUGUGUUCUCGGUUUGUGUUCUCUCCAUUCGUCUAGCUCCUCUAUCCGUAGUCUUCAUUCUUCAUGGACGUCUUUGUUCUCUUCAUGAUAGUAGCGCACUGUCUCUGUUGUCUUGGUUCGAG